rnacentral:lncRNA from 1 species
AAAAAAAAAAAAAAAGAUUUAUUUAUUUUCUGCGCUGGGUCUUUGUUGCUGCGUGGGCUCUAGUUGUGGAACAGGCUCUGGAGCACAGGCUCAGUAGUUGUGGUGCACAGGCUUAGUCGCUCUGCAGCAUGUGGGAUCUUCCUGGACCAGGGAUCGAACCUAUGUCUCCUGCUUUGGCAGGCAGGUUCUAUGGCUUCACAAAGAGUCGGAAACAUCUGAGCGACUAACACACACACACACACACACACACACACACACUCAAGGCCCAGAAGGAAAAGCACAGCCCACGGGGCCACGGUGGAGUGGGGGAUGGGAGGACAGAGCAAUUAAUUCAACAAACGCAGUGAGGGCUUCCUGUGUGCCAGAUGUGUACAGGGCGGGGUUCUGGGAAGAGGAAACCCUAGCCUCACCCUGGAAGGUACACAGCCUGCUCACGGGACCUGAGCUGUGGGGGAGGGAAGCCGGAGGAGGAGACUGGCUUGGACCCUGCCAGGGGGGGCAUCUCUCUCAGGACGCGAGCAUCAAUAUUUCAUCCUUGCUUCGCCUGCCAGCAUCCCGCUCCCUCCUCCCUGCUUCUCACCGGCUCUAGGGCCCGGAGAGCUGGGCCACGCUGGCCUGACCCAGGGCGUCAUCACAGAUGUCCACGCUGCCUUCAGCUUGCCCGCCGUGCCAUCGUGGACUCCAGAGUCUGCGCAAGAAGCCGCCCUUCUGAGUAAGUGAGCUGGAGAGGCGGCGCCGGCAGAGGGGCCAGGCCUGGAGGGAGCGCCUGGCUCAGGGCCCCAUG